UGGGGAAUAUUGGGCAAUGGAGGAAACUCUGACCCAGCGACGCCGCGUGCGGGAUGAAGGCCUUCGGGUUGUAAACCGCUUUCAGCAAGGAAGAAGCGAAAGUGACGGUACUUGCAGAAGAAGCACCGGCUAACUAUGUGCCAGCAGCCGCGGUAAUACAUAGGGUGCAAGCGUUGUCCGGAAUUACUGGGCGUAAAGCGUGCGCAGGCGGUUAUGUAAGACAGAUGUGAAAUCCCCGGGCUCAACCUGGGAACUGCAUUUGUGACUGUAUAGCUAGAGUACGGUAGAGGGGGAUGGAAUUCCUCGUGUAGCGGUGAAAUGCGUAGAGAUGAGGAGGAACACCAGUGGCGAAGGCGGCCACCUGGACAGUAACUGACGCUGAGGCGCGAAAGUGUGGGUAGCAAACAGG
rnacentral:rRNA from 1 species